rnacentral:snRNA from 1 species
AUUGAAACGCAGCAGUAUCAGUGAGGAUUCGUCCGAGAUCGUGUUUUUGCUAGUUGAAAACUAUCAACUGACUGCUCUCGACGGUCGAAAGAUCUGCCGAGGAAUUUUUGGAAAACCACAUUACACACACACUUAGU